GAUAUAAAAUCUAAUAAAGUAAAAAAAAAAUUAUAACAUAAAAUUUAACCCUUAAUAGUAAUAACAGUAAUGAUAAUAAUGACAAUGAUAAUACGUAAAAGUUAAAUAGAAUGGAAGAAAGCAAAAGAAUAUAAGUAACUUUCACCAUAGGAAAACUUUUCUUUCUGAGGUAUUCCUGAUCCUCAUACCUGAAGCAGAUAUAUGCUAAAUUUGCAUCACAAAACCCUAAUUUCAGAUCUCAAUUGAGAUGUAAUUAGCUUCUGCAGAGGCUCCUCAUGGUUCACAAAUCUUCUGCGUUUUGAUAUACAGAGUGUAAGUUUGUAUUGUAUAUUACUUGGAAGCAGUAAACAUUAUGGCCGGGCCUGGUGAUCCAAAGAAAUCUGAAUGGAUAGAUAGAAUAAAAUCUGAAGGAUCCAUUCCACUUCUUGAUCCAAAUAACUGUUCAAAUGGUUGGGCUUUACCUCCUGGAGCUGCAUUCAAGGUUAGAGGUCCUGAGUAUUUUAAGACAAAGGUUAAGAUUCCUGCCGGUGAUUAUCUGCUCAAGCCUAUUGGACUUGAUUGGAUUAAAAGUUCGGUGAAAACGGGCGAGAUAUUGAAGCAUUCAAAUAGUAGAGUUAGGAAGGUCAUUGAUAAUGAGUUUCCAGCUGGUGAUAAACCUUUUGUGUGGGCCUUCAAUAUGCAACUCCCAACCAAGGAUAAUUACAGUGUGGUGGCAUAUUUUACCAACAUAGAGCCUAUUACUGGGGACUCUUUGAUCGAAAAGUUCUUGAAAGGAGAUGAUGAUUUCAGAAACUCAAGGCUUAAGAUGAUUGCCAACAUUGUCAAUGGUCCUUGGAUUGUGAAAAAAGCGGUUGGGGAGCAAGCAAUAUGCCUGAUUGGUCGAGCCCUUUCCUGUAAAUUUUGUGUGGCAGAGAAUUACAUAGAAGUAGAUAUUGAUAUUGGGUCUUCCAUGGUAGCAACUGCUAUAGUUCAUUUGGCAUUUGGUUAUGUGACAACUUUGACUAUUGAUCUGGCUUUCCUUAUUGAGAGCCAAGUUGAAUCAGAGCUUCCAGAAAAACUCUUGGGUGCAUUCAGGUUGUCUAACCUCAAUCCUGCUUCAGCUAGACAAGUUGAGCCAUCAUCUGUUUCGAGCACUGGUAGUUUACAAAGAUCUUUAUCUAAAAGAUUGUGGAAGUCAAUAGGGCAGAUUCUUCUUCCAGGUUCACAAGAAAAUGACUCUACCUCGGCCGCACAAAAUACUAAAACUGUAGAUCAAAAAAACUACUGACUUCAAAAAAUGGUGGCUGUUCUCUUUACAUUUUUUCUUGACGUAGAGUUGGUGCUUGUGACUGCUAAAAGUUAGAAUAGCCUUUAGAACUUUCACACAAACUGAUAUGACAAUUUGUAUUUGACGCCUAAAACAAGGUAGAAAGUGGAACUCUGCAACCUGGAUCUAGCAUCUUCUAUCUGGUACAUGUAUAACCUAAAGCCAUUUGAUCUCAUAUUAAAGAGGCCAGUUGAUAUAAAUUGUUGUCAAUCCUACAAUUUUUUACCAGUUGAAAGGUGGGGAUAUGCCGAGAGGAAAGGCAGUAACAGAAAACUGCGCAAUGAGCAAAUCCUAUUUUCUAAUCAUUGGAUCUGCUUAUCAGUCAAUUACAUAUUACAUUCUCCGCUCAUAUAUUCCUCACUUUGAGCAUCUUAUAUUCCAAGAAACACUUAAAUCACAUUCAUGUAUUUGUGCCUAAAUUAAUAUACUAUAAGGAGCUUUAUUGAAUUAGACAAUAUUAGCAAUUGAUUUGUGCAGCAAAAUAACUUUA